GCCCAGGUGGUGGAAUUGGUAGACACGCAGGACUUAAAAUCCUGUGGCCAGUGAUGGCCGUGCGGGUUCAAGUCCCGCCCCGGGUA
rnacentral:tRNA from 2 species